UGCGCCCAAGAGGAGUCGAACCUCUAACCGCUUGAUUCGUAGUCAAGUACUCUAUCCAGUUGAGCUAUGGGCGC
rnacentral:tRNA from 2 species